rnacentral:rRNA from 1 species
GACGAACGCUGGCGGCGUGCCUAAUACAUGCAAGUAGAACGCUGAAGGAGGAGCUUGCUUCUCUGGAUGAGUUGCGAACGGGUGAGUAACGCGUAGGUAACCUGCCUGGUAGCGGGGGAUAACUAUUGGAAACGAUAGCUAAUACCGCAUAAUAUUGACUAUUGCAUGAUAGUCAGUUGAAAGGUGCAACUGCACCACUACCAGAUGGACCUGCGUUGUAUUAGCUAGUUGGUGGGGUAACGGCUCACCAAGGCGACGAUACAUAGCCGACCUGAGGGGGUGAUCGGCCACACUGGGACUGAGACACGGCCCAGACUCCUACGGGAGGCAGCAGUAGGGAAUCUUCGGCAAUGGACGGAAGUCUGACCGAGCAACGCCGCGUGAGUGAAGAAGGUUUUCGGAUCGUAAAGCUCUGUUGUAAGAGAAGAACGAGUGUGAGAGUGGAAAGCUCACACUGUGACGGUAUCUUACCAGAAAGGGACGGCUAACUACGUG